rfam:Capsicum annuum cultivar Zunla-1 chromosome 3, whole genome shotgun sequence
UGAUGAUGAUGAGGGAAUUUACUGAGCAUAGCCUUGAAUAUUUCUCUAGUUUGGUAAAGAUUCUCUCCAUCUUUCUGCCUGAAACUUAAAAUCUCACUUCUCGAAUA